AGAGUUUGAUCAUGGCUCACAACGUACGCUGGCGGCACGCCUAACACAUGCAAGUCGAACGAAGUAGCAAUACUUAGUGGCAGACGGGUGAGUAACAUGUAGGUAUCUACCCUUUGGCCUGGAAUAACACGAGGAAACUUGUGCUAAUACCGGAUAAGUCUUUACGGAGAAAGCUUUAUGCACCAAUGGAUGAGCCUGCACUUGAUUAGUUUGUUGGUAGGGUAAUGGCCUACCAAGACUGUGAUCAAUAGCUGAUUUGAGAGGAUGAUCAGCCACAUUGGGACUGAGACACGGCCCAAACUCCUACGGGAGGCAGCAGUGGGGAAUCUUGCACAAUGGAGGAAACUCUGAUGCAGCGAUGCCGCGUGAGUGAAGAAGGCCCUUGGGUUGUAAAGCUCUUUCGUCGGGGAAGAAAAUGACUGUACCCGAAUAAGAAGGUCCGGCUAACUUCGUGCCAGCAGCCGCGGUAAUACGAAGGGACCUAGCGUAGUUCGGAAUUACUGGGCUUAAAGAGUUCGUAGGUGGUUGAAAUAGUUGGUGGUGAAAUCCCAGAGCUUAACUCUGGAACUGCCAUCAAAACUUUUCAGCUAGAGUUUGAUAGAGGAAAGCAGAAUUUCUAGUGUAGAGGUGAAAUUCGUAGAUAUUAGAAAGAAUACCAAUUGCGAAGGCAGCUUUCUGGAUCAUUACUGACACUGAGGAACGAAAGCAUGGGUAGCGAAGAGGAUUAGAUACCCUCGUAGUCCAUGCCGUAAACGAUGUGUGUUAGACGUUGGAAAUUUAUUUUCAGUGUCGCAGCGAAAGCGAUAAACACACCGCCUGGGGAGUACGACCGCAAGGUUAAAACUCAAAUGAAUUGACGGGGACCCGCACAAGUAGUGGAGCAUGUGGUUUAAUUCGAAGAUACGCGCAGAACCUUACCAACACUUGACAUGUUCGUCGCGACUUUAAGAGAUUAAAGUUUUCGGUUCGGCCGGACGAAACACAGGUGCUGCAUGGCUGUCGUCAGCUCGUGUCGUGAGAUGUUGGGUUAAGUCCCGCAACGAGCGCAACCCUCACUUUUAGUUGCCAUCAUUUAGUUGGGCACUCUGAAAGAACUGCCAGUGAUAAGCUGGAGGAAGGUGGGGAUGACGUCAAGUCCUCAUGGCCCUUACGUGUUGGGCUACACACGUGCUACAAUGGUAUUUACAACAGGAAGCAAGACGGCGACGUUAAGCAAAUCCUUAAAAAAUACCUCAGUUCGGAUUGCACUCUGCAACUCGAGUGCAUGAAGCUGGAAUUACUAGUAAUCGUGGAUCAGCGUGCCACGGUGAAUGCGUUCCC
rnacentral:rRNA from 2 species